rfam:Synechococcus sp. MIT S9508 MITS9508_contig000014, whole genome shotgun sequence.
AAUCUUGUGAGGAGAUAAGCUCACGUGGUGGAAACAAGGACACACUCACGUUGAACUUUCAGAA